rnacentral:lncRNA from 1 species
GCAGACACAUAGAGUAACGGCCACACGAGGACCAGGGAGGUGACAGCCAUCUGCAGACAGAGGGGAGAGGCCUCACAGGGAACUAGCCCUGCGACACCUCGAUCUCAGGCUUCUGGCUUCCAGGAUGUGAGGCCAUAAACACUGUCUGCUGUUUAAGUCACCCUACCUGUGUUUUUUGUUGUGGCCACACAGGAGCUCUGACACCUCGGGGUACAGCCUGCGGAAUGGUGGGUGGGGUGGUCUGCAUUCCAGUGGCCUGGUCACUGCACUGGUGAAGAGAAGCAGUCACAGGGUAGGUGCAGGAGUCCAGGGCUCCAGGACCCCAGUAUCCAGGAGGCAGGGGACAUUUUGGCUGGGGCAGUGGUGAGAAGCAGUCCAAUAUAAAAUCAUUAUAAACUUCAAGGUGACAGCCAUGGAGCAUUAAACCCCUUGGGUGGGGUCCUUCUGAAUGUGGAGGAAGCUGCUGGUGCAGCAGACACAUCUCACUGGACAUCACGUGAGUGAGCUCUUUUAUUCUUAAGACACUGAAAUCGGUGGGAGGUGCUCCUGCAGCAUAGCCCUAACCUGUGGCAACUCUUGUCUGUAUUCCCACUUUACAGAGGCAGAAACUGAGGGUUUGGGAGCAAGGCUUGGGGGAGGGACUGAGCAGGCAAGAGCAAAUCUGGAUUCCGAGCCCAGCUGUUGGUUCUGCUGAGCUCAGUGGUUUUAAAUGUUACGACAUCGCUGGUGAUGGGUGAUGGCAGCCUGACCAGGCAGGAGUGACUGUGUCCUGAGCCCUCCCCCACCCAACGGGAGUGCUAGAAACUUGGGGAGGGGCACUCCCCUGCAGGAGUGUCUGCCCCCCUUUCAGCUCUGUUUGGAGAAGGAUUUAACAUGUUCUGACACAGACGGACUUUCUCUUCGACUUGCUCAGUGAUUUCCCCCAGUCUUCAGGCUGACCCUGGGUUCUGGAAGCAGAGAGGCACAGACCGAGGUGGCGCCAGCCUGUGCAUCAGUGCAGGAGAGGAGGAUGCACAGCCCAAGGAUGUGCCAAGGGUGGGGACCAGACAGAACAGCCCUGCUCCUCCCCAUCCUGCUCACCUCUUCCCGCCAGCUCGCUUCCAUCCAGGAGCCCACACGGAGCACAGGAUCUUCAUCUGCAAGGUCCCAGCACACACAGCACCCCCCACCCCCGACCGGGGAGGGGUUGAUUUCUGUGCAGCCAGGCACAGAGGCCCUUCCUGUCCCCUCAGGGCUGAAGAGCCCUCUGGGGCUCAGGAGCUGCUGUUUCCUCUCACUCCCCUGGAGAACCUCUCUGGGUUUGUCAGAUGCUAGAGAAGCCCCGGGAGCGUGUCUGGUUCGCGUUUGAACAAUAUCCAUCACAUUCACGCGUGGGAUAAAGGUUGAGAGCUCUGCCUAUUUCAUGCCUGAGUGACAAAUUAAGUCUUCAGACCCCGAGGACUCCAGGUAUGGAGCGAUGGCUCAGGACACAGGGUCCUGACAAAGCAUGGUCUGAGCCAUCACUCAGGGCCCCACUCCUUGAGCUGGAGCUGGGGCAGCUCCUCAUUUCCUGGGGGUGUACUUGCCACCAGCUAUGGUCUCAGGACUCAGUCUCUUUUCCUGCUUGUGGUUUAGCGCCUGCAAGGGCUGAGUCAUAAAGGUCUUUACUGAGCACCAUCCAAGUAUCAUGACCUGCUGCCUGGGUCUGCACCCAUGUUGGGGGUUGGGGGUGGUCUCUAUUCGCUGGGGGCUCAUGGAGGAGGUGCUGAGCACAAGCUCAGAGGUCUGGCCUGCCUGAGGUCAAAUCCAUCCUCGCAGCCACGUAACGCAGGCAAUGAUGUUACUGCUCAGACUCAGUCUGCUCGCCUGUAAAAUGGGAACAGUCGUCAUAUGGGCAUCACAGAGUUUAUGAGGAUUGAUGGACAAACCCAUUUAGAGCAGCGCAGACACCACAGCCCUCCAUCAUGACAAACAAUAUAAUUACUGUUAUAUAAAUAUUGCUGAUGACACGUUUGCUGCUAUAUCAUCCUGCAGCCCAUCUGCAAAUCACCUAGCCUCCACUGCCCACUGUACCAUGUUCCUAGGGUGCCCAGGGCACUGGUUCUGGUGGGGUGGUUGGGAAGCAGAGAAGAGCUUGUGGGGUGGUGGUCCCGGGCAGCUCUUGGAGUGAUGUCCUUGGUCCCAACCUGAGGGUCACUGCUCACUCUGGAUCCCUGUGGGCUUAGGAUUGGGACUCAAGUGACUCCAGGAGCCCUCAGAUCUCCCCAGAAGGCAUGGCUGGUGGACGUGUGACGAAGUCACUCGUGCCGUGGGUCCUGGCAUCCUGGCCCUGGACCAGUUCACCACCUCUACCCUGGCAGCCUUUGUCCAGCAUCUCCUCCCCAGAACCCCAGGCAGAUCCCACAGCCCUCACCUCUCUGCCCAGAGGGCCUGGAUGGAUUGGUCAGCUGUGUGGCUGGUCACAGUUCACAGACGGGACAGGUGGGAGGUGAGGUCUCACUCCUGCCAAGGCCAAGGAGCGUGUGCUUGCGUCAGUGCGAGUGCAAGAAAUGUGCGUGUGUGCACCUGCCGCUAUUGUUACAAUAUCCCAGUUUGAGCAUUGUUGUUGAUCCUAUUAGUUAUAAUAACAACACCACACCCUUCGGGAACUUCCACUAUCCACCAGCCCCAGUACUAGGAUAUGUGAACAGAUAGAUGAUCGAUUCAGUUAAUCGUCUUGACAACCUUCUUGUUUACAGAAGCAUUGUUCACAGAAGAAUAAGCAAACAAGCCAACGGCUUUGGAGAGUGGGUAAAAAAAAGUGCAGAACGUGUGGAUUCUGUCCAGAAAAGAAAGUAAAUGAAGAAACUGCCAAUGGACUCUUUAGCACAGAUUGACCAGCAAAAGCCUAAAUUGAAGGAACACGAUGAGCAAAUCACAGGUGAUCAGGGCUGGAGGGUUGCACCCCGUAAAUUUGCAGAGCGGCAAAAUCACCUCCCGUGUGUGUCGGUUGCGGGAAGAGGGCCUAAAACAUAACCAAAAGCAAGGGGGAGAGACAGGAUUGAGGACUGUGGUUAUCUCGGAGGAAGGGGGAUGGAGGUCGGGAGGGACUCAGGGACACCGCGGCCCUGAUGAUGCUCCAGAGAUGAGCCCCCCAGCCUGUGAGCUGCCAGCCAUGGGGAGUGUGUCAAUGUAACCCACACCAUCAGCUCAGGUCACUCCAGAUCUUCCCACAGCCAUGGACAUGGCAGUGAUGGCAGACGGGAGGCAUGGAGCCCAGGAACAGGCUCCUUCCUCAGCCCACUGGUGACCUUGUCUCUGUCCUCUCAUGACCGGUCCAGAAUGGUCAGGGCCCUGCCUUCAAAGAGGCUUUGGAGCCGAUUCUCCAGGGUGAUUAUGUUACUAAAUUAACCUAAACUCAUUAAUCCCACCUGCACUAGCUGGAGACAAGGGUGUGAGGGUUGCUAUGGCACCAUCACCAUGGUACCCGAGCCCCCAGUGACUCACAUCAAUUGUGUGACUGUGGAGGGGACAGAACAGCAUCAGUACAGCUGUGCAGGAUGCCCACAGGGCAUGAACCUCUGCCUCACCUCUGUCCCCUGACCCCCUUACUGGGGACAUCCAGGUUCCCUAGCCUCCUCUCUAUCUGCGCCUGGGGCCACAGGGCCAGGUGCACAAGGCAGGGUCUCCCUCCUCCCCUCCCCCCGGACCCUGCCUGGGGGCUCCCAUGUCAGUCUGUCUGUCCACACAAGAAGGCUGCCUUCCCCUGCCUGGACCCCACAGACAGCUUCCAUGGGGGGAGCAGAGAGCAGAGGAACCACUGUGUCUCCCCUACCAACCCUCCUGAGCCCCCCUCACCUGAGGCCAGCCCGGUCCCGUCGGUGUCCACAGCACCUGCCUCUGUCCACCACAGCCACCCCCAAGUCCUGAGUCCUCCCUGGACAGGAUGUUCCCCCUUCACCAGGUGGGGGGAGGGGGGAGGCAGGUGGACGCUGGGGCGGGAAGCCUGUGGUUGUGUUCCUGCCUGCCACACCUGGCUGCUCAGCCAAGAUGGAGCGACCACUCCUCCCUGACCUGUCCUGGGCUCUUGGCCUCAUCUGGGCUGCAGGAGGUCAGACCUGGUUAGAGCUUGCCUGGUUCUCCAACCCUGAUAAGCAGGUGGGCAGUGACGGUCCCUGUCAGAAAGGGAGCUCUGGGUCCCAAGUCCAGGGCUUUUUCUGCUCCUUCUGGGGCAGGUGUGUGUGUGUGUGUGUGUGUGUGUGCACACGUGCGCGUGCGUGUGUGCGUCCGUGCACUGUAUGUGUGUGAACACGAGCAUGUGUGCACCUGUGUGUCCGUGCACCUUCCUAGUGUCUCCUCGGGAACCACAGUCCCAGUCCAUCCAUUUUCCAGCCACAGUGAACUGGCUCCAUGAUGAGCACAGGCUGGUCCACAAGGUUCUCCUUUGCUGGCGCUCAGGAAAGUAGUGCUUUAUCUUCCGUAAAUGACGGGCUGUUGUGGCCAUUUCUGCUGACCUCCCAGCUCGGGGAGCCUGGUCAGAGGGGAGCACCGUCUCAGAGAGUUUACUUCAUUGCAUCUGACACUUUGCACCAGCUGUUUGUGGGACGGGGGCGGGGCUCCCCCUCCAUCCCUCCCACACUGCACCUGGAGUGGUCUCAGCAAUUUGUCCCUUUGAUUAGCAGCUGAUAAUUCAUUGAAAUGGAGUUCCACGGGGUGCAGGCUGAUUAAGCCUGCUAAUGCGAAGGCAGGUGUGGGUCCCCCAACCCAGCCCUCAUCAGCUCCUACAGUAUCUUCCUCUGACUUCCAUGAUUGCCCUGAGCAGUCUCAGAAUCUGGCCCCUUUUUAAAAUAGGAGGGGCCCUCUCGGUCCCAAGACACCAGGGGAGCAGGUCAAGGGCUCCUGGCGGCUGCUCCCAGCCACCUCUCGGCUGGCCUCUUAGGCGUCUUGGGGCCCAGUGCAUCUGUACACCCUCGACUGAGAGAAAUAGGAAAUCGCUCAUACUCUUUGUAAUCGUGAGGGAUGUGUGGGCUCCCAGGAUGGAAAAAAGAAUGCACAUAAUUUCAUUUAAAAUGUAUAUUGAUUAUUGGGGCAUUUGUGGGGGAGUUUGUUUAUUUUAUGGCUGCACCUGCAGCAUAUGGAAAUUUCUGGGCCAGGGACUGAAUCUGAGUCAAAGCUGUGGCAACACGGCCAGGGGUUGAUCCUGAGCCUCUGCAGUGACCAGAGCCACCACAGCUGGAUUCCUAACCCACUGUGCCACAACGGGAACUCCAAUUAUUUGUUGAAAUGAUCAUAUUAGGGGUAUAUUGGGAUAUGUUAAUGAAAUUGAUUCAGUUUCUUUUUUUUUGUUUUUUGGCCGAACCCUUGGCUUGUGGAAGUUCCUGGGCCAGGCAUCAACCUAGACCCACAGCCAUGACCUGAGCUGCUGCUUCUUUUUGUUUUUUUUUUAAUGUGGCUAAUAAAAAAUUCAAGCCAUGU